UACAGAGGGUGCGAGCGUUAAUCGGAUUUACUGGGCGUAAAGGGCGCGUAGGUGGUUAUUUAAGUGAGAUGUGAAAGCCCCGGGCUCAACCUGGGAACUGCAUCUUAUACUGGGUAACUGGAGUACAUGAGAGGGUAGUGGAAUUUCCGGUGUAGCGGUGAAAUGCGUAGAUAUCGGAAGGAACACCAGUGGCGAAGGCGGCUACCUGGCAUGAUACUGACACUGAGGCGCGAGAGCGUGGGGAGCAAACAGG
rnacentral:rRNA from 1 species